AAACGGGGGCGGCACCCCCGAUCCGCCUAGUAUGUGGGCGGCACCCCCACCCCCUCCCGGCGGCGCAGGUUCUACACCGGCAGUCACUGCGCGCAAAUAAUGGAGGAUGGUGGCAUGGAGUUCCUCUUGGAUGCGGUUGAUAGAUCCCCCCUGCGAGAGGAGUUUGCCGACAGCCAUGAACAGCCAGAUCCGGUGCCUCUGGUCCUGCUGGCAAGCAUCGGUUCGGGAGCAGUCGUGCUGGCGGACACAAAGGCUGGCUCCGGAUGUGGUCCGCAAAACGCCGGUGAAGGCAAUGACACGGCAAGGGCUGGGAUCCGAUGAAGGCCGGACUCGUCGCCGACGAGGUCCGCGCAGUCCACCGACAGGAUGAAUCCACAGGCCCCUGGGUGGACCUGGUGGACUCGGUCUAAUUGCGAGCAGACCAUCUCGGUUCCAUCUGUGUCACGUUUUCACCUCCUUCCCUCCCGCUCCCUCUCCACUGGCGACCACAACGGCGAUUUGGGCGACCACCGCGGUGAGGGCGAGGAGCACUGGCAUGCCCUGAAGGAUCUCACCGGCAGGCGUCCAUCAGGUUAUGGCUGGGUAGUGCACCACCAGAUCGGAUGCCAUGCCCUUCCAGAAUGAGUGCUAUGGAGAAGUCGAUCCGCAAAUACGCGGAGGAGCCAACAAAGAGUGUAAUAAGGCCUGAGCUUGGACUGAAUUGAAACGGCGGCGUACAAUGUCACUGAAAUAGAGAAGAUGAGGAAGUAUGUCAUAGUGCCCAACAAUGCAGCAAAAAGGGAGAAAUGGAGCAGGGUUGAGUAUGAGGUGAACAUAAGUGAAGACAAAGAAGAAUUUACGUGUGAAUGUGGACAGUUCAAGCACACUGGGAUGUUAUGCUGCCAUGUUCUAAGGGUGAUGGAAAUACUUCAUGCUGAGGAAAUCCCGGCUAAUCAUAUAUUGAAGCGGUGGACAAACGACGUGAGGGACAUACUACCCCAACAUCUGGUUCAGUACCAGAGAGAUGAUCCAGUUAACCUGUCAUUCACGUGUAGGCACUCCACCUUGUACUUGAAAGCCAUGGAUGUAGUACGUUUGGGUGAUGCAAGUGCAGAGGCUUUCGAUCACAUUUAUGUUGGUCUGGAUGCUUUAAUGGUGAGUGGAACACCUUUGGCCGAGA